ACGAACGCUGGCGGCAGGCCUAACACAUGCAAGUCGAGCGCGCCCUUCGGGGUGAGCGGCGGACGGGUGAGUAACGCGUGGGAACGUGCCCUUUUCUACGGAAUAGCCUCGGGAAACUGAGAGUAAUACCGUAUACGCCCUUUGGGGGAAAGAUUUAUCGGAAAAGGAUCGGCCCGCGUUGGAUUAGGUAGUUGGUGGGGUAAUGGCCUACCAAGCCGACGAUCCAUAGCUGGUUUGAGAGGAUGAUCAGCCACACUGGGACUGAGACACGGCCCAGACUCCUACGGGAGGCAGCAGUGGGGAAUCUUAGACAAUGGGGGCAACCCUGAUCUAGCCAUGCCGCGUGAGUGAUGAAGGCCUUAGGGUUGUAAAGCCCUUUCAGCUGGGAAGAUAAUGACGGUACCAGCAGAAGAAGCCCCGGCUAACUCCGUG
rnacentral:rRNA from 1 species